rnacentral:rRNA from 1 species
GAUGAACGCUGGCGGCGUGCUUAACACAUGCAAGUCGAACGAAGCAUUUAAGACAGAUUACUUCGGUUUGAAGUCUGUUAUGACUGAGUGGCGGACGGGUGAGUAACGCGUGGGUAACCUGCCUCAUACAGGGGGAUAGCAGCUGGAAACGGCUGGUAAUACCGCAUAAGCGCACAGUACCACAUGGUACAGUGUGAAAAACUCCGGUGGUAUGAGAUGGACCCGCGUCUGAUUAGCUUGUUGGCGGGGUAACGGCCCACCAAGGCGACGAUCAGUAGCCGACCCGAGAGGUUGACCGGCCACCUUGGGACUGCGACACGGCCCAGACUCCUACGCGAGGCAGCAGUGGGGAAUAUUGCACCAUGGAUGCAACUCUGAUGCAGCGCCGCCGCGUGAGUGAAGAAGUAGUUCGCUAUGUAAAGCUCUAUCAGCAGGGAAGAUAGUGACGGUACCUGACCAAGAAGCUCCGGCUAAAUACGUG